rnacentral:lncRNA from 1 species
UGAAGAUCCAAUGAGAUAAUGUUUGCAAGCAUUUAGCACAGUGGGUGGAACAUAGCAGGUGCUCGAUGAAUGCUUACUGGAGAAGGAAAUGGCAAAUCACUACAGCAUCUUUGCCAAGUAAAUCCUAGACAGGUCAAAAGAGUCAGACAUGACUAAAUGACUAAACAACGCUGGGCCCUCUUACAAAAUGCCAUGGUUGGAGAGAAAACAUCUUCCUUCCUCACGAUCCCCUCCUACUUGAAAGGCUUGAUUUUCUACAGAGGUUUAACUUUUUAAAAGCCAGAGGUGCCCGAGUUAAUCUUUCACCAACCCAGGGCCAGCUGCCCUUUUAAUUACAUCAGGAAGAACUGCUUCACCCUUCACUUUAUGAAUAACAAGAGACCUCUUUGCAUUGGUUUUUGACAUAUUAAUACUUCAUUACCACUGUUAUCUGACCCUUAAUUUCCAUGAUUUAUAUCACCUGAGCUUGAGGGUGAGGAAUCAAGUCUCUCCCUUCACCUCAUACCACCUGGGAAAAGUGCUCUGUCAACUUGGAAACACUAUGUAAAGAUUCCCUGCAAACAGUCCUGGAUAACCUGGUUUCAUGACAUCAAUGGCUGGUUGAUAUGGGGAAACUAUUUCCAUGCUGGUGCCUGUAGCUAUUUACUGGGGAAAGUAGUCCAGAGUCAAACAGGGACAGGCCUGACACUAUGCAGGAAGCAGGAGCAGAAGCCAAAUGGAAAUUCUCCUGUUUAUACCCUAGAGCCAACUCUCAGAUCCAGGAGAAGAGUAAUACCUUCAAAGAGGAUGACUUUU